rnacentral:rRNA from 1 species
CCCUUAGAUGUUCUGGGCGGCCCGCGCACUACAUUGGCACUGGCAACAAGAUCCUAGAUCUGGUAUUUCGGGGUAUUCUACCAACUGGUGUCGUGACUGGGAUUAACCCCUGCAAUUAUUGGUUAUGAACGAGGAAUUCCUUGUAAUCACGGUUUAUCAACCCGUGUUGAAUGCGUCCCCGCCCUUUGUACACACCGCCCGUCGCUCCUACCGAUGAAUCGUCCGGUGAAGUUCAUGGAGUCGCGGCUGCUCCAGCUGUUUUCGAAGUGAAAUGGACCUCAUGAUUUAGAGGAAGGAGAAGUCGUANCA